GACGAACGCUGGCGGCGUGCUUAACACAUGCAAGUCGAACGGCAAGGCCCUGCUUUUGUGGGGUGCUCGAGUGGCGAACGGGUGAGUAACACGUGAGUAACCUGCCCUUGACUUUGGGAUAACUUCAGGAAACUGGGGCUAAUCUCGGAUAGGAGCUCCUGCUGCAUGGUGGGGGGUGGAACGUCUCGGCGGUUGGGGUUGGACUGGCGGGUUAUCAGCUUGUUGGUGGGGUAGUGGCUUACCAAGGCUGUGACGGGUCGCCGGCCUGAGAGGGUGACCGGCGACAUUGGGACUGAGAUACGGCCCAGACGCCUACGGGAGGCAGCAGUGGGGAAUAUUGCACAAUGGGCGGAAGCCGGAUGCAGCAACGCCGCGUGCGGGAUGACGGCCUUCGGGUUGUAAACCGCUUUCGCCUGUGACGAAGCGGGAGUGACGGUAAUGGGUAAAGAAGCACCGGCUAACUACGUG
rnacentral:rRNA from 1 species